ACGGAUAACAUACCGAAAGGUAUGCUAAUACGGGAUAAUAUAUUUGAGAGGCAUCUCUUAAAUAUCAAAGGUGAGCCAGUACAGGAUGGACCCGCGUCUGAUUAGCUAGUUGGUAAGGUAACGGCUUACCAAGGCGACGAUCAGUAGCCGACCUGAGAGGGUGAUCGGCCACAUUGGAACUGAGACACGGUCCAAACUCCUACGGGAGGCAGCAGUGGGGAAUAUUACACAAUGGGCGAAAGCCUGAUGCAGCAACGCCGCGUGAGUGAUGAAGGCCUUCGGGUCGUAAAACUCUGUCCUCAAGGAAGAUAAUGACGGUACUUGAGGAGGAAGCCCCGGCUAACUACGUGCCAGCAGCCGCGGUAAUACGUAGGGGGCUAGCGUUAUCCGGAUUUACUGGGCGUAAAGGGUGCGUAGGCGGUCUUUCAAGUCAGGAGUGAAAGGCUACGGCUCAACCGUAGUAAGCUCUUGAAACUGGGAGACUUGAGUGCAGGAGAGGAGAGUGGAAUUCCUAGUGUAGCGGUGAAAUGCGUAGAUAUUAGGAGGAACACCAGUUGCGAAGGCGGCUCUCUGGACUGUAACUGACGCUGAGGCACGAAAGCGUGGGGAGCAAACAGGAUUAGAUACCCUGGUAGUCCACGCUGUAAACGAUGAGUACUAGGUGUCGGGGGUUACCCCCCUCGGUGCCGCAG
rnacentral:rRNA from 1 species